rnacentral:tRNA from 1 species
GCCUGGGUGGCUCAGUUGGUUAAGCAUCUGACUUUGGCUCAGGUCAUGAUCUCGCAGUUCGUGGGUUCGAUCCCCGUGUCGGGCU